UCAUAUUCCUCUUCCCUUACUGACUCUGUGACCCUAAGACAGACGUUUAAGCUUUGGAUGACAAUACUGCCUCCUUCAUGAUAAUAACGACCCACAGCAUUUAUUAUACAGCAAUCAGCGUUCCAAGUGCUGAGCGCAUUGUUAAGACUGAACCCUCACCACCAUAGUGGACACCACCAUCAUUCCCAUUUCACGGAUGAGAACACUGAGUCACAGAGAGGCUUCUGCGGCUCGCCAAGGUCAUCAGGCUGAUAGGAGGCAGUGUUGGGAUUUGAACCCUGGUGAUCUGGCUCAAGUCUGUGCCGUCAGCCCAACGGCCCUGCCGCCUCACCUGAGGCUGCUGUGAGGCCGACAGCGGCCAGAUGUGGGGUGUGCCAGCCCAGCACGGGCCAGCUGUGGCUCCGCUCCUGUUACUAACCCCUGCGAGGCCAGGUGCUCUUCCUCCGGCCCUUUCUUCUGACCUUUGCUUUUCUGUGGAUUCUGUUUUCCUUGUUUCUCUAGGGGAUCAAGCUUGAAGAGCAGAAGCCAGGACCCCAGAAGAACAAGGAUGACUACAUCCCGUACCCCAGCAUCGACGAGGUUGUGGAGAAGGGAGGCCCGUACCCUCAGGUCAUCCUGCCCCAGUUUGGGGGCUACUGGAUUGAGGACCCGGAGAACGUGGGCACCCCAACAUCGCUGGGCAGCAGCAUCUGUGAGGAGGAGGAAGAGGACAACCUCAGCCCCAACACAUUUGGCUACAAGCUGGAGUGCAAGGGCGAAGCCAGGGCCUACCGCAGGCACUUCCUAGGGAAGGUGAGGCUGGGGACCUGGGGAGAGGAGCUGCC